rnacentral:misc_RNA from 1 species
GUGAAUCAUCGAAUUUUUGAACGCAAAUUGCGCCUUUUUCGGAAGGCAUGUCUGUUUGAGGGCACCAUUUAACAAAUAAUGUGCACCGUUUUUGUGUGUGCACACGUUGAUGAGCUUUCCAGGAAAAAAAUUUUUUUUUUGGUGGCGCAUAAUGAACAGCGCGAAAGCUUUUUUUUCAGUUCGAGUGUAGUAAAAUCUUUGCUUGGGUUGUGAAAAGCAAGUAGCGCAAUGGGUGUGGCAAUUUUGUAAUCCCCUGCCCCAAUGCCACUCUUUCUCGCGAAAGAAUGUUAUAAUCUUCAGG